rnacentral:lncRNA from 1 species
UAUACAAGGGAACUGUUAUCGCUUCCAGCAAGGUUAAUAUUAAUGAGAUGUUUCAUUUGAGCGUUGACUAGGAGGCUAAAUUAGGUGCACGCUUAGGCCUAGGUAUCAUAACAAGAAUCAAAGCUCAGAACUGGUCUUUGUUACACUUACAAAGUUGUACCCUCCUCUCAGAUUUUAGACGCCAUGUGCCCCGGUUCUUUUGGAACAACAUUACUUGUUAGCGACAGAAAAACCGGUUUGGAACUCACAUUAAAGAAGGUAGGCCAUAGCGAAUUAGUGAAGGGUAGCUAGUGGGUAGUGAAAUCACUGGGUGUCCAUAGAAAUCCGUUAUAGCCCAACCUAUAGUAUAAUAGAAAUUCUAAUCACAUUUCCAUUUCCACGUUUUAUCCAGACUGAAUGUUUAGAUGAAGGUAGAGCCAACGAAGCUCUUCAGGAGGCACUACCUCUUCUGGGGAUCAGCCACCCGAACAUUGUCCGCUGCAAAGAGAUGUUCAUAUCCUGGGAUAAAGAGAUAUCUUCAGUUAUCCUCAUCAUGGUGAUGGAUUGCCCAUACACAGACAGUCUCUCAACCAUCAUCAGUCACCAGCGGGAUGAGAAGAAGAGAUUUGGGAAAAAGGUAACAUGCCCUUGUUU